rnacentral:rRNA from 1 species
UACGGAGGGGGCUAGCGUUGUUCGGAAUUACUGGGCGUAAAGCGCACGUAGGCGGCUUUGUAAGUUAGAGGUGAAAGCCCGGGGCUCAACUCCGGAAUUGCCUUUAAGACUGCAUCGCUAGAAUUGUGGAGAGGUAAGUGGAAUUCCGAGUGUAGAGGUGAAAUUCGUAGAUAUUCGGAAAGAACACCAGUGGCAAAGGCGACUUACUGGACACAUAUUGACGCUGAGGUGCGAAAGCGUGGGGAGCAAACAGGGAUUAAGAAACC